rfam:Halomonas sp. S2151 contig0034, whole genome shotgun sequence.
UCGUCCACCAGCUGCGGACAGAUGAAGUGCACGUGGGCGUCGAUGGCGCCGGCGGUGAGGAUCUUGCCCUCGCCGGCGAUGACCUCGGUGCCGGGUCCGAUCACGAUGGUGACGUCCGGCUGGGUGUCUGGAUUGCCGGCCUUGCCGAUGGCGGCGAUGCGACCCGCCUGAAGGCCCACGUCGGCCUUGACGAUGCCCCACCAGUCAAGGAUCAGGGCAUUGGUGAUGACGGUGUCCAUCACCGUCUGGUCGAGACGCUGGCUCUGCCCCAUACCGUCACGA